CUUUCUCUGGUAGUCAAUGAAAAUCACCGGAAGAGCGAACAGCCAGACGCAAAGACUACAUACUGACUACGUAGUACUCGAUGUUAUCCCGAAACGAUGUUGAUUCUGAACAUAUCUUUUCCGUAAAAUUUUCGUCCAGAAUUCGAUCAGAAUUUUCGAGAAACGAGAAAGAAAGGAAGAAUAAAGACGAUAAACGUAAGACCAUUUUUGUCAUCGAAUAAAGAAGAAGAAAAAGAAAAAGUGAAUAGUCAGACACGAUUCCAAAAAGUUCGUACCGUUAUGCAUACACUCACAUAGGCCGGCUGAGUUUAGACAGCGACUAUCCCAUCUCUUUGAACGUGUCUUCUUAAUUGGUAAAACAAACGGACACGAGGUGUAAGAGAGAUAGAGAGAG